rnacentral:rRNA from 1 species
AUUGAACGCUGGCGGCAGGCCUAACACAUGCAAGUCGAACGAGUGGCGGACGGGUGAGUAAUGCCUGGGAAACUGGCUGAUGGAGGGGGAUAACUACGGGAAACUGUAGCUAAUACCGCGUACCAUAGGAUGAGCCCAAGUGGGAUUAGCUAGUAGGUGGGGUAAAGGCUCACCAAGCCGACGAUCCCUAGCUGGUCUGAGAGGAUGACCAGCCACACUGGAACUGAGACACGGCCCAGACUCUUACGGGAGGCAGCAGUGGGGAAUAUUGCACAAUGGGGGCAACCCUGAUGCAGCCAUGCCGCGUGUAUGAAGAAGGCCUUCGGGUUGUAAAGUACUUUCAGUCAGGAGGCGUUACCGGCAGAAGAAGCACCGGCUAACUCCGUGCCAGCAGCCGCGGUAAUUC